rnacentral:rRNA from 1 species
AACGAACGCUGGCGGCAUGCCUAACACAUGCAGGUCGAACGAGACCUUCGGGUCUAGUGGCGCACGGGUGCGUAACGCGUGGGAACCUGCCCUUAGGUUCGGAAUAACUCCCCGAAAGGGGUGCUAAUACCGGAUAAUGUCUUCGGACCAAAGAUUUAUCGCCUUUGGAUGGGCCCGCGUUGGAUUAGCUAGUUGGUAGGGUAAAAGCCUACCAAGGCGACGAUCCAUAGCUGGUCUGAGAGGAUGAUCAGCCACACUGGGACUGAGACACGGCCCAGACUCCCACGGGAGGCAGCAGUGGGGAAUAUUGGACAAUGGGCGAAAGCCUGAUCCAGCAAUGCCGCGUGAGUGAUGAAGGCCUUAGGGUUGUAAAGCUCUUUUACCCGGGAUGAUAAUGACAGUACCGGGAGAAUAAGCUCCGGCUAACUCCGUG